rnacentral:rRNA from 1 species
UACGAAGGGGGCUAGCGUUGUUCGGAAUCACUGGGCGUAAAGCGUAUGUAGGCGGAUUGUUAAGUCAGGGGUGAAAGCCCGAGGCUCAACCUCGGAAUUGCCUUUGAUACUGGCUGUCUUGAGUCCGGGAGAGGUGAGUGGAACUCCUAGUGUAGAGGUGAAAUUCGUAGAUAUUAGGAAGAACACCAGUGGCGAAGGCGGCUCACUGGCCCGGAACUGACGCUGAAAUACGAAAGCGUGGGGAGCAAACAGG